rnacentral:rRNA from 1 species
UACGUAGGGUGCGAGCGUUAAUCGGAAUUACUGGGCGUAAAGCGUGCGCAGGCGGUUCGUUGUGUCGGUGGUGAAAGCCCCGGGCUCAACCUGGGAAUGGCCAUGGAAACUGGCGAACUGGAGUGUGGCAGAGGGGGGUGGAAUUCCGCGUGUAGCAGUGAAAUGCGUAGAUAUGCGGAGGAACACCGAUGGCGAAGGCAAUCCCCUGGACCUGUACUGACGCCCAUGCACGAAAGCGUGGGGAGCAAACAGG